rnacentral:rRNA from 1 species
AUUGAACGCUGGCGGCAUGCCUUACACAUGCAAGUCGAACGGUAACGGGCCUUCGGGUGCCGACGAGUGGCGAACGGGUGAGUAAUGUAUCGGAACGUACCUUUCAGUGGAGGAUAACGUAGCGAAAGUUACGCUAAUACCGCAUAUUCUGUGAGCAGGAAAGCAGGGGAUCGCAAGACCUUGCGCUGAUUGAGCGGCCGAUAUCAGAUUAGCUAGUUGGUGAGGUAAGGGCUCACCAAGGCGACGAUCUGUAGCGGGUCUGAGAGGAUGAUCCGCCACACUGGAACUGAGACACGGUCCAGACUCCUACGGGAGGCAGCAGUGGGGAAUUUUGGACAAUGGGGGCAACCCUGAUCCAGCCAUGCCGCGUGAGUGAAGAAGGCCUUCGGGUUGUAAAGCUCUUUCGGCCGGGAAGAAAUCGUAUCAGCUAAUACCUGGUGCGGAUGACGGUACCGGCAUAAGAAGCACCGGCUAACUACGUGCCAGCCGCCGCGGUAAAAC